rnacentral:rRNA from 1 species
UGGGGAAUAUUGGACAAUGGGCGCAAGCCUGAUCCAGCCAUGCCGCGUGAGUGACGAAGGUCUUCGGAUUGUAAAGCUCUUUUUGGCGGGGACGAUAAUGACGGUACCCGCAGAAUAAGCCCCGGCUAACUUCGUGCCAGCAGCCGCGGUAAUACGAAGGGGGCUAGCGUUGUUCGGAAUCACUGGGCGUAAAGCGCACGUAGGCGGACUUAUAAGUCAGGGGUGAAAUCCUGGGGCUCAACCCCAGAACUGCCUUUGAUACUGGCUGUCUCGAGGUCGAGAGAGGUUGGUGGAAUUCCUAGUGUAGAGGUGAAAUUCGUAGAUAUUAGGAAGAACACCAGUGGCGAAGGCGGCCAACUGGCUCGAUACUGACGCUGAGGUGCGAAAGCGUGGGGAGCAAACAGGAUUAGAUACCCCCGUAGUCCCUGAGCGGGCUGGCAAGGCGCAU